AUUGAACGCUGGCGGCAGGCCUAACACAUGCAAGUCGAGCGGAGCGGCGGACGGGUGAGUAAUGCCUAGGAAUCUGCCUUGUAGUGGGGGAUAACGUCCGGAAACGGGCGCUAAUACCGCAUACUCUCAGCUGAGCCUAGGUCGGAUUAGCUAGGUGGUGGGGUAAAGGCCUACCAAGCCGACGAUCCGUAACUGGUCUGGGAGGAUGAUCAGUCACACUGGAACGGAGACACGGUCCAGACUCCUACGGGAGGCAGCAGUGGGGAAUAUUGGACAAUGGGCGAAAGCCUGAUCCAGCCAUGCCGCGUGUGUGAAGAAGGGCUUCGGAGUGUAAAGCACUUUAAGCUGGGAGGCGUUACCAACAGAAUAAGCACCGGCUAACUUCGUGCCAGCAGCCGCGGUAAUAC
rnacentral:rRNA from 1 species